CGUGCCGUGCCGCGCCGCGCCGCGCUGUGCCGUGGCAGCGCCCGCGCCACGCAGCGCCGGCCGCCGCGGGCUCCCUUGCGCAGCCACCCGAGGUCGAUCGGCGGAGUGUGCUCGGCCGUGAGGAGGCGGCGAGGCCGUGUGAGGCUCUGGACUGCCCCAGAAGUUUGCUGGCAGAAACUGUUCCCUUUAUUGGCAAAGUCGUCAGGCUCUCCUCAGAGGAAUACCCCGUUGCCCAAGAUGAGUGGCUGUAGGAAGCGGUGUAAGCGGGAAAUAAUGAAAUUUGCCCAGUACCUUCUCAGGCUAAUCACAGGUUCUCUUCACACAGGUUUCCUCUACGCUCAGAACAGUACCAAACGCAGCAUUAAAGAGCGACUUAUGAAGCUCUUGCCCUGCUCGGCUGCCAAAACGACAUCUCCUGUUACUCAAAACACUGUAGAAGAUGAAAUGGAAAUGGCCACAGUACGACAUAGACCUGAAGCUCUUGAACUGCUGGAAGCACAGAGUAAAUUCACAAAGAAGGAACUUCAGAUCUUAUAUAGAGGUUUCAAGAAUGAAUGCCCCAGUGGUGUUGUCAAUGAAGAAACCUUCAAAGAGAUUUACUCUCAGUUCUUUCCACAGGGAGAUUCCACAACAUAUGCACAUUUUCUGUUUAAUGCAUUUGACACUGAUCACAACGGAUCUGUAAGUUUUGAGGAUUUUGUUAUGGGUCUCUCAAUUUUACUCAGAGGGACAGUACAGGAGAAACUGAACUGGGCUUUCAACUUGUAUGAUAUAAAUAAGGAUGGAUAUAUAACUAAAGAGGAAAUGCUUGAUAUCAUGAAAGCAAUAUACGAUAUGAUGGGGAAAUGCACCUACCCUGUUCUCAAAGAAGACGCACCGAGACAACAUGUGGAAACAUUUUUCCAGAAAAUGGACAAGAACAAAGAUGGAGUAGUUACCAUAGAUGAAUUCAUUGAGAGCUGCCAGAAACAACGGGUACGGGGCAGUGUCUCAUCUGUCAGCAGUGCUCUGUGGCACUGACCGUGGUUCCAGCUUGUCAGUCCUGUUCAAUACCAGCAAAAGUCAUUUCCUCUGCCAACACUGUGUGAUCAUCAGAAACAGAGAUGAGAUUCUUUUCCCAGCUGAGGAUGAGAAUAUAAUGCGAUCCAUGCAGCUCUUUGAAAAUGUGAUUUAAUGAAGACAUUAGGUCUACAACUAAUGGACAAAUAUGAACUAUUCUGCAACAUUAUCUAAAAAAAUGGAUUUCCCACUUUAUCAUAAAUAAAGUUACUCAGCUUUACACUGAGAAAUG